rnacentral:rRNA from 1 species
AUUGAACGCUGGCGGAAUGCUUUACACAUGCAAGUCGAACGGUAGAGGGGGCAACCCCUUGAGAGUGGCGAACGGGUGAGUAAUAUAUCGGAACGUGCCCAGUCGUGGGGAUAACGUAGCGAAAGUUACGCUAAUACCGCAUACGAUCUAAGGAUGAAAGCGGGGGAUCGCAAGACCUCGCGCGAUUGGAGCGGCCGAUAUCAGAUUAGGUAGUUGGUGAGGUAAAGGCUCACCAAGCCAACGAUCUGUAGCUGGUCUGAGAGGACGACCAGCCACACUGGAACUGAGACACGGUCCAGACUCCUACGGGAGGCAGCAGUGGGGAAUUUUGGACAAUGGGCGCAAGCCUGAUCCAGCAAUGCCGCGUGCAGGAAGAAGGCC